rnacentral:rRNA from 1 species
AUUAAACGCUGGCGGCAUGCCUUACACAUGCAAGUCGAACGGCAGCAUGGGUGCUUGCACCUGAUGGCGAGUGGCGGACGGGUGAGUAAUACAUCGGAACGUACCUUGGAGUGGGGGAUAACGUAGCGAAAGUUACGCUAAUACCGCAUAUUCUGUGAGCAGGAAAGCAGGGGAUCGCAAGACCUUGCGCUCUGGGAGCGGCCGAUGUCGGAUUAGCUAGUUGGUGGGGUAAAGGCCUACCAAGGCGACGAUCCGUAGCGGGUCUGAGAGGAUGAUCCGCCACACUGGGACUGAGACACGGCCCAGACUCCUACGGGAGGCAGCAGUGGGGAAUUUUGGACAAUGGGCGGAAGCCUGAUCCAGCCAUGCCGCGUGAGUGAAGAAGGCCU